UAAUUUUUUGUAUUUUUAGUAGAGACGGGGUUUCACCGUGUUAGCCAGGAUGGUCUCAAUCGCCUGACCUCGUGAUCCGCCCACCUUGGCCUGAUGUGUUGGUUUUAUAAAGGGGAGUUUCUCUGCACAAGCUGUCUCUCUUUGCCUGCCGCCAUCCACGUAGUAAACGUGACUUGAUCCUCCUUGCCUUCCGCCAUGAUUGUAAGGCCUCCCCAGCCACAUGGAACUGCAACAGAGGAAACUUGAAAUCUGUAAGUGUGAUAAAAAUUGCAAGUACUGUUGACUCAGAUGUACUGAGAGGUUCACAUUAUCACUGCCAAGUCUGCUACGUUGCCUACAAAGGAAUCCACACACCAACACCGGUGAAGAUGCAAUGAGAAAGCACAGUCUUUGAAGCAAGAGAGAGCCCUUACGAGAUGCUGCAUCUGCUAGUGCCCUGACAUGGGACUUUCCAACCUUCAAAACU